AUUGAACGCUGGCGGCAGGCCUAACACAUGCAAGUCGAGCGAGCGGCGGACGGGUGAGUAAUGUAUGGGGAACUGCCCGAUAGAGGGGGAUAACUACUGGAAACGGUGGCUAAUACCGCAUACCAUCGGAUGAACCCAUAUGGGAUUAGCUAGUAGGGGGGGUAAAGGCUCACCUAGGCGACGAUCUCUAGCUGGUCUGAGAGGAUGAACAGCCACACUGGGACUGAGACACGGUCCAGACUCCUACGGGAGGCAGCAGUAGGGAAUCUUCGGCAAUGGGCGAAAGUCUGACCGAGCCACGCCGCGUGAGUGAAGAAGGUUUUCGGAUCGUAAAGCUCUGUUGGUAGAGAGGCGGUACCUACCCAGAAAGCCCCGGCUAACUCCGUGCCAGCCGCCGCGGUAAUUC
rnacentral:rRNA from 1 species